rnacentral:rRNA from 1 species
AACGUAGGAGACGAACGUUAUCCGGAGUUACUGGGCGUAAAGGGCGUGUAGACGGUUUGUUAAGUCUGGCGUGAAAGCUCUCGGCUAAACCGGGAGAGGUCGUUGGAUACUGGCGAACUCGAGGAUGGUAGAGGCGUGUGGAAUUCCGGGUGUAGUGGUGAAAUGCGUAGAGAUCCGGAGGAACACCAGUGGCGAAGGCGACACGCUGGGCCAUACCUGACGCUAAAGCGCGACAGCAUGGGGAGCAAACGGG